AGAGAAUAGAUACCCUGGUAGUCCAUGCUGUAAACGAUGAGAACUAGAUGUUAGGGGGCAUGACCUCUUAGUAUCGAAGCUAACGCGAUAAGUUCUCCGCCUGGGGAGUACGGCCGCAAGGUUAAAACUCAAAGAAAUUGACGGGGGCCCGCACAAGCGGUGGAGCAUGUGGUUUAAUUCGAUGCAACGCGAAGAACCUUACCUACCUUUGAAUCCACGGAACCUAGCAGAGAUGUUGGGGUGCCUUCGGGAGCCGUGAGACAGGUGCUGCAUGGCUGUCGUCAGCUCGUGUCGUGAGAUGUUGGGUUAAGUCCCGUAACGAGCGCAACCCUUGUCCUUAGUUGCCAUCAGGUUAUGCUGGGCACUUUAAGGAGACUGCCGGUGAUAAACCGGAGGAAGGUGGGGAUGACGUCAAGUCCUCAUGGCCCUUACAGGUAGGGCUACACACGUGCUACAAUGGGCAGUACAGAGGGAAGCCAACCCGCGAGGGGAGCGAAUCUCAUAAAGCUGUUCGUAGUCCGGAUUGGAGUCUGC
rnacentral:rRNA from 1 species